GAUGAACGCUAGCGGCAGGCCUAACACAUGCAAGUCGAGGGGCAGCACAGAAACAGCAAUGUUUUGGUGGCGACCGGCGGACGGGUGCGUAACGCGUAUGCAACCUACCUUUAACAGGGGGAUAACGGAGAGAAAUUUCCACUAAUACCCCAUAACAUCGAUCAAGGCAUCUUGAUUGGUUGAUAACUCCGGUGGCUAAGGAUGGGCAUGCGUUGUAUUAGGUAGUUGGUGAGGUAAUGGCACACCAAGCCUACGAUACAUAGGGGGACUGAGAGGUUAGCCCCCCACACUGGUACUGAGACACGGACCAGACUCCUACGGGAGGCAGCAGUGAGGAAUAUUGGUCAAUGGGGGCAACCCUGAACCAGCCAUGCCGCGUGCAGGAAGACGGCUCUAUGAGUUGUAAACUGCUUUUAAACAGGGAUAAAGCACAGUAUGUAUACUGUGUUGAAGGUACUGUAAGAAUAAGGAUCGGCUAACUCCGUGCCAGCCGCCGCCGUAA
rnacentral:rRNA from 1 species